UAGAGCUAGGGGCAGGAAAGAGCAGAGACCGUGCGGCCAGGCUUCACCGCAGUGCCCACACUUUGUGGGUCUGAACUCUGGCCAGGGACCCUGUCAGCGCCUGAAAUGAGGAACCUUGGGAUAUAACCCAGAGAGGAUAAAUCCCUGGUAACAGCUUCCUGUGUCCUCCUUUCUCAAGGACCUAUGCAAAGGACUUAAUUCACCCUACCCUCUGAGGCAGACACUAUUUCCCCUAUUUUAUAGAUGAGGAAACUGAGAAGGGAUAUGUCACAAGAAUGCAAUGCAGCUAGGCUUUGGAUCUUGAUGAGGGAGUCGAGCUCACACUUCUUCCACUGCCAUGAAGAGGCCAUCAGGGAGCCCUGGGUGCCUGAGCCCCCUUCCCAGCAUCAGUCUGCAUCGUGCCUGCCUUCCCAGGGUGCUCAGUGGGAGUUGAGCCGUGGGGGGAGCCGCCACCCAGCCAGAUCCGCCAGCCUCUACCUGCACAUCUCCCAUGGGGGCCUCACCUUCCUGCCAUCGGUAGCCAGUGCUCCAGGAUGACAGAAGCAGGAGAGGGAGCGUCCACACCUGGCUCCUAGUGCCGUGGAAAGGCUGGAGGAAGAUGGAUGAGGCUGGAGGUACUGGGCAGGAGGCAGCGGGAGGGGAGAGUUGCAGGUGCUGUCUGCUCUAGGAAGGGGACCGGUGGGCACCAGAGCCAGAGGGAGGAGAGAGGCUGGCACUGGGUACGAGAGGCAGGGACGAGGCCUGAGCAGUAGGGGUGCCAGAUUGAGCAGAUGCCCAGCUCGCUUGACUCUCAGUUCAACAACAAGCACUCUGUGAGCAUAAGUCUGCCCUGGGUGACGAGUGGACACACUCCCAUCUAAAGAGCCCCCGUGGGAGCUGAAAGUCGGUGGAAUCCGGUAUCCUGUACUGUAUCUGGCAGCCCAACUGGGGGCUCACCCCAGAGCCAUUGACAGCUGAGUCUGAGCCAAGGUACUUGUGCCCCCACCCCAGGACCCCGUCCUGUCUACUGCAGGUGAUGGAACACCACAAGGCAGAGGGUCCCUGGCAGAAACAGGAACGUUGUGGGAGAACACCUCUCUCUAGACCACAAGCUCUCAGGAGCAGAGGUUUCUGGGAGGGGUGAAUUCCCCAUCCCAGGGAGGAGGGAGGCCGUGUAGGGAAGCCCACCCAGGAAACCAGCAGGACCUUCAUUAUGUAGCUUCUCCCUGCCCUGGACUCCCAGGUGCUUUAGAAGCAGAUCCUGAAGCCAGAUGGCCUGGAUUCAAUCCAGAUACUACAAUUUAUUUGUUGUGUCACCUUAGACAAGUUACUUCACCUCUCUGUCUCAGUUUGCCCCCUUGUAAAAUGAGGAUAACAAAACAAAAGGAAGGCUAUGAGGGUUACGUGAGUUGACAUGUACAAAGUGCCUCUCCUAGGACCUGGAGCAAUGGAGGAGUUUUACAAAGGUUGUCACUGUUGUGCAACCCUCCUGGACAUAUCUGCAGAUCCCAGCCAGCCCUGGGGACCCCUAGGCCUGUCUGAUCUGACCCCCAACCUGCUCUACCUAAGAGCUUACCAGCACCUGCUCUUACCAAAACCCCCCACUGGACUUCGUCUUCAGGUAGGGGGCUCCCUUCUCACCCUCAGCAGGGAGGGUGAGGAGCAGCCCAUGCUGGGCAGCAUGUGAGGGAUGCCUCUGCCUGCGGUGUCCCCAGCCUGGCCAGUGGUGCCAAGUCACCAAGGGCACUGGUUGCAGCUGGGCCUGGGAAUGAGGCUCCCUUAACUAAGACACUGAAACACACAGUGGCACCCUCCUCCCCAGGACACCAAGGAGCCAAUCGAGGCACACAGGGGAACUGAAGCCAGAGUGUGGCCAGGCUGGCUGGGGCCACACAGAGGCAGUGGCAGUGGCCCUGUCCCAGCGCAUCCUGCUGCGGCCGGCCACCAAGCCUCUUCCUGCCUUUCUAUGGAGCAGCUCGCCUGCCCCCUGGUGGCCAUAUGGCCACAUGACACCCACCCUGUGACACCCUGGGCUGGGCAGGUAGGGCAGAGGCUGUCAGAAGAGGCAAGAUUGGCAGGUCAUUUGUGCCUCCCAGCUGACAAGAGCAGGCCCCCUCUCCUCCCUGCGCUGGAGGACCACUGUGGCCACAGUGCACCUCAGAGGAUCAGGGAGAAGGGAGCCCACCGGCAGCCCCAGUGAGCCCAGAGGAACAAAGAGAAUGAAACAAGCUAACUCCUCAGGCAGGAAACCCACCACACUUCAGGUUUAUAACAAGGGCGGUGUGGGGGGGGGCAGGACACGAGGGUUCAAGCUCGUGCCCCUUUUGGGGGUUCUGUCCAUGCUCACGGUAACCACUGGGGUUCACAGGAAGCGGGCCCGGUCUUGCUGCCCCUUGCAGCUCCUGGGAGCACACAGCACCCUCCCUGGGGAAGAAAGUGAGGAGGCGGCAGAGGCAACAGUUUUCAGGGGCAGGUGGCGUUUCAGGCAGACCUUUAAGGCAGGGAGAACCGAGAAGAGGAAAGGGAGGGCCGGGCUGGAAAGUCGAGGCCAACCUUCUGCAGGGCUGGACAUGGGAUGUCAGGGGUCUUGAUAAGCCCCCUGCAAAAGCCUAACGCUGUAUGAACAUGCAUUGGAAGGCUUGUGGGGACCCCGGGGGCUGGCAGCCCAGUCCUCUUUGUGUGUCCUCCCUUGCUGCCGCCCCACAGAUGUUUGCUGAGUUAACAACAUGCAAAAGAGUUCCCCGCCAAAAAUCAUCCCAAGAUGUGGCCUGACUGCAGGCCUGGGUGAGGCUCCUGCUUGCUCAAGGUCAAGGAAUGAUGCCGCCAAGUCUCCGGGCAGCAGAGGUGGGGCAAGCCAACCCCCCUGCCCUCUUGGUGUGCUGUGAGCUACUGAAGAGGUCAUUAACCCCUUGUCCUUUGUCCUUCCUGACCACCUUCCUGCAGCAGGCUGGCUGGUACACCUCUGGCCACAUCACCCACUGGCUCCCAAGUGUCCUGCCCUUUUCCACCUCUGAGCCUUUGUCCAUAGGUCCCUGGCAGGAAUGCCCUCCCCUUCAGGAGGCACCCCCAGGCCACCGCACACCUCUGCCCUGCUCCCGGGGCCUGGCCUACAGUGAGCUUGUGCAGUGCUGGCUUCUCCCACAGCCACUGACCCACUCUGCGAACCUUUUUUCUGGCCCUUGUGGGUUUGUUUCUACCUUUUUUGCAGCUGCUUUGGCCCAGUUCCCCCUCCAGGCUCAGCUGGGGCUCCCUGUCUGGAUUAAGGCAGCCUCCAGCCCCCUGAGUGGUUUUCCAAGGGACCUUGGCACUGGGCCAGGGCAGGGCCUGGGUCCCAAAGGAAAAGGCCUCAGCUCACAGCCAGGCCACUCGGUCCCAAGUGAAGCAGGUGGCUCCAAUUUGUCACUGAAGGUCUGCAGGGCAAGACUCGGGCACCUCUCAGGGUGACCAUCCCCUUUCAUAGGAAGGGCCCGAGUCUCAGAAAGGGGCAGUAGUCCUCCUGGGGUCACCAGGAAAUAAGCCAGGGCAGGCCCUGUCCCAUACUCAGCCUUCCACGAUCAUGCAGGGAACCAGGGCCACCUGAGUGGGGCAAGAAUCUGUGUACUUCCCUCUUCCCGUGGUCCACCCAGCUCACCUCUGCAUUUCAUUCUCUGCCAAGGGCAUCCCUGCACUCAGUCCCAUGUGACUCAUGGCCCCCUGAGCAUGCCUCACCCACCCGCCACCCUGGCUCCCUUGGGUGCCCGUCUGGACUCCUUUCCUGUCCCAUGGCUGCAGUGGCCCUGCUACUUCCAAGAAAUUCUCAUUUUCCGUUGGUGUGGGAGGCUAGGGGCGGCAAUCCCUGGGUCGUGCUCCCCAGCUCCAGGGUUGCACCGCCCUCCUGGCUGUCUCCUCCAGCGCCACCACCUGGGCCCCCUUCCCAGAGAUACAAAGAGGUUCCAACAGACACCUGUUCAUUUCUUACCCUGUCCAGAGCCUUCCUCUCUGCCCAUCCUGCAUCCAGCAGCCAGCCCUGCCCUAGAGAGGUCCUCUGACCAGGCUCCUGUUAAUCUGUACUAUAGCCCAUUAGAGGGGGCAGAUGAGAAACAAACUCAGAGAGGCUAAGUGACUUGUCCAUAAUCACACAGCUCACCAAGGCCAAGCAGCCACUAGAGCGUAUGUGUUCUCACUCUCAGGACCGCAUGCACAUCCUCUAGUCUAACAUGUUGAUCUGUGGGCUCUGGACAUUAACCUCCCCUGGUUCGCAUUACUUUUAAAUCUUUCUCUAACCUUUCCCACGUUUUUGUUUGUUUGUUUGUUUUGUUUUUGUUGUUGUCGUUUGUUUGGGUUCCUGGUUGGAAGCGGGAACUUCCAGGGUGCCCUGUGUGUUUGUAAGACCUAGAGAGUGUCAUAUCCAGGUGCUCCCUCGGGGCAGAGCCAGGCACAUUGCAGGCCAGGGAAAGGGAUUAGAGUGGUAGCCCCUGCUGCCUCAGGGCCCUGAGGGGGUAGAGGCUUUCAGACCCUGGAGUCCAGGGCUGUCUGACCCUGGGCCUGCCCCCCAGCCCUCCUGGCAGACUCCAGCGGGGGCAGCAGCAGCCCCCACACUCCAUGAUGACCUCCCCUGACUCAGGCCUGCGCUAAGCCCCUGAACCCACUUCAUCCUCGGAGGAAGGCUGCACAUCUGUCCCUUCACUGCCAAUGGGACAGAGAUGCAGGGCCCACCAUGUGAGGAGCUGGUGCCAGAACCAGGUAUGGACCCACUUGCAUCUAGGUCCUUGAAGCCCAGACAAUGCUACAGGGGACUCGGUCAGGCAGCAGACGGGCCUGUCCCCUGCCCCUUGGGACUCUGAUGGAGGCCACUGGGCUGAAAGCACCUAUGGGCAGGUGGCUCCCGCCUCCCCAGCCUGCCCUUCCCUGCUCUCAGUCACCCAGAACCUGCCCCCCCCCACCAGGCCCCAGGCAAGGGCCGACCGAUGCCUGCUCUGUGCAGUGCAGACCCUCCCUGGCCACCAGCUUCCCCCCACAGGAGGCUUCCCUUGUGUGAGGCCCAGCGCAGCUCUUACUUGAUCUCCGUCUGCCCGCCCGCCUUCCGCGCGAUCUGCACCAGCUCCUUCCCGUAGCGCUCCUCCGCCUGGGCCCUGCAAGGACACGGCGGGCUCGUUCCCCGGGGCUGCAGCCCGGGAAGUGCCCUCUGCAGAGCCGGAGGCCCACCCAACCGCCUCAGGGGCAGCAGGACCGUGUGGCAGCCCCUCCUGGGAGUACGUGCUGGCCCACCAGGCCACCUGAGGGGACAGCGAGCAGCACCCAUCGGGGCAGGUUGGGGUUGAGGGGAAACGUUGUCGCCUGGCUUCCUGCGGAGGGCAGCCCCCUUCCCCUGGCCGCCCCGCCCGCCCCUGGCCAUCCCAGUUCACCUCUGCCUCAGCAGCUCCUCCACGUCCUUGCACAUCUUCCUGCCGUCCAGCAGCCGCUGCAGCAGCACCUCGUAGCCCGUGUGGGCGGUGAAGUCCCUGCACUGGAACGCAGGGCAGGCGGGUCCCUGAGCACAGCCCAGCAGGGGCCUCUGGACACCCCAGGAGGAGACCCUCCCUUGUCUCCAUCUCCCCAUUCACAGUCCAGCCCUUGGGUUCAGGCCCUGUCCUCACACAGCUGUGGGGGUGACAGGUGCCCAAGUGGUCAGGGGCUGCCUGCCUGACAUCAGAGUUCUCAGUCUGGGACCCCUCACUGCCACCCAGGGACAGUUGAUGGGAGGGGCCACCACUGAAGCACCACGAUGACAGCCCCCAAAUUUAGUCCCUCAGGGGUGCCUGGCAUGACUCAUGCUGCCCACCCCCAUCACCCUGUCACUCAGCUAAUCAAGAAAGCAGGCACGUAGGGGUGACAGCUACCAAGUGAUGGCCUGGCACUGAACGCAGGUUGGAGUUGAAUUCUGCACCCCUGCACUACCCAGCCUCUGCCGCUGCCCGUGACCCAGGCGAGUCUUUGAGACUUAGCUCUGUACCCAGGGCCAGGUUGGGCCCUCUGUGGGCUCAGCUCAUCUUCUUGCACCAGUCUGGGAAGGUGGGUUUUGAGGGUGGCUUCAGGGCCACCAGAGCACACCUAGAACACCCUGUGUCACCUCUGUUUUAUUUUUUGUGAUGCUGGGGAUCAAACUCAGUGGGUACUAGGCAAGUGCUCUGCCACUGAGCUACACCCUCAGCCCUGGGUCACCUCUCAACUAGACUACGUGAGGGUCACCCUAGAGAAUCCCCAAGGAGGGGCUGCUCCUGCACCUGGCGCUUGCCCAGCCAGUCCUGGUGGUCCUGACCCACCUGCCCCACCCCUGCCCUUGGGUGCGGACUCUAGGUCCAUCUGAGCUGCUGGCAUGGGAAGCUGGGGUGGGGAGGUAGCAUGCGAGGACAUGAGAGGACAGUAGUUCCUACAGCAUCCCCAGGCCUGGGGAACGGGUCCCAGCACCUGGCUGCCGACCCCAGUGCUCCUGGCUCGCACAUGUGGCUGACCCUAGAAGAAGAGGAUAAAUCCUGGUGGGAGGCAGGGGGUCUGCCCCUCACUAAUCCCUGCCAACCCUUAGGUACUUGGCCAGGCAACUGCAAACCAGGGCAGCCUGAGAUUCGGCACCUCCUCUGUCUGCUUUUCUGCCCCCUCAGACCCUCCCAAAUCCUGAGACUGGGAAAAGGAGCCCCAGUUUCCCUGACAAUAAAUGUCACGUCCUCAUACAUCGGAGUUCAGAGGUCUAUGGGGCUCUCCCAAGUCACACACCCCUAACCUGUUUUCCAGACAAAGCCUGGCACUCCUUCCCCUUGCCCAAUGCCUCUCCUCAAAUUAUGGGUCUGUGGGGGAAGACUGGGUGGAGUCAAAUCAAGGAGAGCUUCCUGCAGGAAGAGGCAUAUGAGCCAGGGAAGAAGAUGUUGCAUUCUUCAAGGUCUAAAAAGAAUCAGACAUGGGGCUCAGGACAGAAAUGGCAGCAACGGCCUCACCUAGGCCUAGCCCACCCUCAACCAACUCAGAGUAGUCAAUCUGUAGGCCUGUGGGAUACAGAUACUUAGAACCCCAAACUCACCCUCCUCCAUAAGCAACCCUAGAAAUUCCUGUGGAGGGCCUGACCCAGGCUCAGUGGCCCACAGGGUACAAGCUGAGUAUAUAGGCCUUGGCUGGCCACCAGAACCCCAACAAGACGAAGUUGUCCCCUAGUGUGCUGCAGCCUGUCCUGGGCACGGCAUUUGCCCUCAGGUCCAGCCUGGCAUCGCUUAACCACACGGGCCAGGCUUCCAUUUCCACAGCCUUGGUGGGCAUAAACCUGACCAUUAAAAACCGGCAGACCAUGCUUCCCGCCCCUCAGCUUCUGCCCUCCCUCUGGACCCCCAAGUCAGAAACCUGUGGCAGCAGGGAGAGAAAACAAAUCGGGAGCUUCGGCCUCCUGCCCUCCUUGUGAGGGGUCAUUCCAAGCUGGACACAGUGUUCAGGUCACAAGAUCACAGACACCCAGAACUUAGAAGCAUCUUUCUAGCGCCCCUCUGUCUUUGGGAAACUGAGCCUGGAGAAGGGAAAGGCUUGCCUGAGGCCAGAGUUAGGACAAGAAUCUUCUGGACUCUCGGGGGCCUGCUCCUACCCCUGGGGAAGAUGUGGGGACUGAGGACUCAGGCAAGCUGGAGUCCGGCUUAGAGCGGGCUGUGCUGCUGCUCCCGCCCGACCGCGCCUGGCCCUUCUCUGUCCUUACUGAGGCUCCCAGAGUGGAAAGAGAAGCCGAAGCAGACCUACGUUGGCCAUUCUGGAGCGGUGGAAGGCGGCAAGGGCCCUGAAGUCUGGCCUUCAGGAGCUCAGGUCCCCACAGUGUCCAGGCUGGAGAAUUCUAUCCAGCCCCUGUGCAGAGCACAGUGCAGGGGCUGGGGGGAGUGUCACUGAGUGAGCCAUGGUCACAAGUGGUGAGGCUGUUCUGAGGAAGUGCCUGUCCCCCCCCCUCCACUGGGGCUACUCACCAUGCCACAAUGCGUCCCAGCCCUGCCCCCUUCCACCAGCCGGCACCCUCCCCCUCCACCCCCACCCCAGCCACCUCCUCACGGGGAUGAGCUCUGACUCAUUGCUCAGAGCUGGGAGAGAAGGCUCAGGAUGCUGUUGAGGGAAAGAGGAACUGAGAAGUCUUAUCUAAACUGGGUUGGCAGGUCCACCGUGCCAGGCCCAGCACCAGUCAGAGGCUGCCCCGGCCUCCUCGGCCUCCUCUCACCUCCCCUCACAUCCUCCUGCUCGCCCUCAGCAUCUGUCACCUGAGCCCUGCCCAUGGCCUUGCCCUUCAUGAAAUCAAAAUUGUGGCUGGAUGGGCCACAGUCUUCUGCUGGGCGUUUCCCCAAAGAGAGGCUUCCAGCGCUAGUGUGCACUUGUGCAGCUCAGCAGAUCCUCCAGGACCCGAGGGCCGUUCUCAGGAAAGAAACCUUCAAAAGAAUAAGACCCCAGUCUCUGGGACCCAUGAGAGGCAGCGAUCUUACGUUGAUACCUACCCCAGCAGACACAGCCAGCCCACAGCCACCUCCCCACACCAAUCAGCACUGUGCAUUUGUACCUCUCCAAGGGGUCCCCCUGCUCCCCCUUAGUUAUCUUCUUUUUUGUUGUUGUUGUUUGUUUUUUUUGAUUAUGAAUUCUGGAGGUCUCGCAGCUGAGCUGUAUCAUUAGCGUCCUGCAAGCUUUGCUUAGAGAACACCUCUGACAUGUGGUUACAGGUGACUGGGCUACUUGUCAAAAACUUGAAAGCCAUUUCUGUCCAAACCACCAAUUCUUCAUUUGGGCCUGUGCAGAUGUCCGAUGAGGUGACCUUUAAACAUCAAGAGGCCCCAAACUCCACCCUCAUACCAGGCUGAUGCUGCUAUUUUCUGAACCCAGGUCCCCAUGAAAAACCAUAAAGUUUGGUGACAUACCACAACUUCUCUUCCGGUCACCUUCCCCAUGCCUUAAAAUCACUCUACUUCUUUACCCCAUGAAUAUCCCCUAGCCCUAUCCUUGAGGAGGAGAAUUCGAGACCUGUGUCUCCAUCGCCAUGCUCAGUCACUGAGAAUUAAACUUUUCUUUUGCAAAA